rnacentral:lncRNA from 1 species
GCGUGCAAAGUGGGUUGGCGCAAGGGAGAAGAGUCUUAUUCUAAUAAAGACUCUUAAUUUUCUUAUUUGAAUCCAAACUAAAUCACAUCUGGUUUAGUCCAAAUAAAAUAUAUAAAAUCUAAUCUAAUUAUAUUUAUAAAUUUUUAAUAAAAUUAAAAAUUGAUUGAACCAAAGUUCUGAUCAAAUCAGAGAUUAUUCUCCC